UGACGCAGGGAAGAGGAGGUAAGGCUGAGGAAUAGUAUAUAAACUGAGGCAAAAAGACCUCACAAGACAUUCUCAAGAUGAUCUGCUAGAGACUCUGUCGGAGAGGCGCCAGAAAAACUCUACAGCAUCGAGAAUCAAUCAAUCAAUCAACUAGACAUUGGACCAGAGAUCUUCCAAGAGCAAGAGAACAAGCUCUUGCCUGCAGAUCAAGACUGGCUGAUCCAGAGGUCUACGUCGAGAGCCAUGAACCAUCAUCAGAUGAAGAAUGAAGAAAAUGGAGACAGUGGGGCACCUCUGAAUUCCCAAUGUAUAAACUGCACAUGGGAGGUGACAGUGGUUGACUCUCAAAAAUAAAUCCAGGAAAGACAGGUGUAUUUUUAAGAAAUCGGGGCGGAAGAGAUGGCCUAGUGGUCAACAAUUCUUCCAUCUUUUGCAAAGGACUCAGGUACUGUCCCCAACACCCUGCACUGGUGGUCCACAACCCUCUGUAACUCCAGUUCUAGAUAGCCAAUACCUUCUGGCCUCUAUAGGCCACCUGGGCUCAUACAGUCAUACUCACAGACAGAAACACACACAUACACAUAGCCACAUAAAUUUAAUCUUCAAAGCAAUAAAACAAUAUUCUAGUUCAUCUGCUUCUCUUUUUAUCCCAUCUUGUCUGACUUGAGAUUUGAUGACUCCCCUUGCACACGCCAUCUUCCUUUUGGAGACGUCAUGAGACUGUGGCUCUCUGAGACACACCUUCACAAUGUUAUCUGCAGGAAUCAGCUCGACUGCCAGAGACAUCCUUGGAAUGGACCUUCAAUUUCUGCCCUCAGACAUCAGAUGGGGACAGACAACACAGUUGCUGCCGGCUGUGGCCUCCCUGGGACAGACUCCCAGGACAAGGCUUUCUAUAUCUUAUCAAGGAAACUAGGUUUGACCGUAGGCAAACAUCGAGCAGACUCAAUGACGUGGGAGUAGUUGAAAACAUUUCAGCUCAGUGCUUACAGGUCAUUCCAAGGGCUGUAUCUACUGCCAUUCCUCCAGCCAGGAGCCUAGCAUGAUGGCCUGGCUUCAUUUGACCUACACCAUGGUUGUGUUCUAAACACAGUUCUGCUAAAGAGCAGACAGAAUGAAUGGAACUGAUAUAUUAAUAGGUACACAGGUCUCUUUGUAGAGAUUUGGAAGACAAUCACCUUUUAGAGAAAAGCAACCAGACAAGCUUAAUUCAAAUUGUUUAUGAAGGACAGAAUUUAAACAAAGCAAGAGGUGGGGGAACCUUUUCAGAUUCUUCCAUUCAGAAUCUCCUGAAACAAAUGGGAAUAUAUUAGAAGAUUGAGGGUCACUAUUGGAAAUCCUAGGAAAGUAGAAUUCUUGCAUGUGUUCCUACCAUUCCUUAAUGUUAAUUUUAGUGUGAAGUGUAUGUU